GCCCCUAUAGCUCAGCUGGUAGAGCGUCUGAUUUGUAAUCAGAGGGUCGGGAGUUCGAGUCUCUCUGGGGGCA
rfam:Defluviimonas alba strain cai42, complete genome.